rnacentral:rRNA from 1 species
GACGAACGCUGGCGGCGUGCCUAACACAUGCAAGUCGAACGAGAUCCAUGGGAGCUUGCUCCCGGAAGAUCUAGCGGCGAACGGGUGAGUAACACGUGAGAAACCUGCCCUGGAGUGGGGAAUAACUCGGGGAAACUCGUGCUAAUACCGCAUACCCUCGGAUGGUCGCAUGGCCGACCGAGGAAAGAUUUAUCGCUCUAGGAGGGUCUCGCGGCCUAUCAGCUAGUUGGUGGGGUAACGGCCUACCAAGGCAACGACGGGUGGCUGGUUUGAGAGAACGAUCAGCCACACUGGGACUGAGACACGGCCCAGACUCCUACGGAGGCAGCAGUGGGGAAUCUUGCGCAAUGGGCGAAAGCCUGACGCAGCAACGCCGCGUGCGGGAUGACGGGCCUUCGUGG